AUGAAGAGGGAGAAGAAAAGGAAGAAGAAGGAAAGCAAGAAGAGGGAGAAGAAAAGGAAGAGGUGGAGGAGCAAGAAGAGUCUUAGUACACUUCCUUAUGACACAUUCUCUCUUGAAAGGUUUUCAGGAAGCACAAGCUGGAGCAGCCCUGCCAAAGGAAAACCCUCCCUCUUAAGCAAACCGUCACUACCUUUCAUGCCUGUGUACAUGUGAACAUAUAAAUACAGAACAACAAAGAUACCACUGUAUCCUACUUGUAGCCUUUGUAUAUAUAUUUGGUAUUACAAUUGCUUGUUAAAAUGGAUCUUCUUAUAUCUGAUUGCUGAUAUUUCAGUUGACUGUUAUGUGUUGGAAUAGUAUUGUCCAUGUCAUAUCUUAGACUGUAAGUUCCUCAGAGCAGGAACCAUGUCUUUCUCCAUGUUUAUGUACUGUCAAGCACACUGCUACCACUCAGCAGAUAAUUGCACUCACACAAGUGGUGUUGUAUUCGGAGAAAAAGAAACUCAGAGCUGAAAACUACAAAAAGGCUUCCUGUAUGCAACUUAUGUGAGUCACUUCUCCCUCAGCUGGCUUUUGAAAGUGAUUGAGAUUCCCAUUGUACAGCAGUUUAAAUAAAUGCAUUUUCUGUCACAUCCAUUCUUUGUCUGUAAAAGUAUUAAUUUAGCCCUAGCUAGCAGCACUAGCAUCUGUAAAACUAAGUUUUUUUCAUCAUUAUGGUUAUAAGUUAUGUAAAGAUUUUCACCUUACCUCCUGCUAAUGUUUCUGGUGCUGUGUAUACAUUUACCUGUGUCCCAAGGGAUGUACGAGAUACAUGAGCAUAUUCCUUUCUCAUGAGAGGCAGAAGCAGAUCAGACGUGAUCAGAUAUCAAACAAAAAAGAGAAAAUGAGGUAUUCUUCUUCCCCUCUUACUUACUUACAGUAGUACUGUGGUUAACACUGUUUUGUAGGAUAAGAAUAAUGAUGUUGUUAAUUGCAUACCUACCUGCCUCUACCAUUGGCAGCCUGCCUGCAGAAGAUUCCAACCACAAGGUUAAGUGAUCAUCUUUGAAGGAAAGAGAUGUCCUGGCCCCUUCAACAGAGACUAUGUCAGUUUUCAUGGAUACAUCUGUAUUCUCUGGCACAUGGAGGCAGAGAAAGUUAAUUCAUAUUUGUGCUCUGUGAGAUGUUUACUGAGAAGGAUGAAGCUUAAAUUUCAUCCCCUUGUGCAAUUACUUGCUAGGAGAGUUAUAAUAACUGCUUAUAGAAGAGAGAAGAAAAAAUACUUAUUGCCAAAGUAGUCCAUAGCUACACAACAAAAGGAACUGUGACUUUGUGAUUAACUCUGAUCAAGGAGCUGGCUUUUUGAAUGGAAAUCUCCUGUACUGUGAGUGGCUGCAUGAGCAACCACUGAACAAUAGGUCAAUAGGCAACUUCAGGAAAAAGGAAGCUCAUAAGCAGAUAUGACCACUUGAGAUGUGUCCACUGAUAUCUCUAAUCCAGUGAAUUUUAGCUGCUGAGGAUUAUAAGCAGAAAAAGUUGCAUAUGGUGGAUGGAUUCACAUGCUGCUCCUAAUUAGUAUUGCCUAUUUCCACUUCCAAAGGCUAAUUACUGGGUUAGGUGAGCUAUUGACCUGAUCCAGUUCUUAUGUACCUGUAGGUGAAAACUCCUCACUGGGAAAAUGCUCCCCAUCUCACUGGCAGCCAAAUUGAGGUGCCAGGAAUUGCUGCAGUAGUUUUGAGCGAAAGGACACCAUACUUUGGGGAAUGUGAUAAAUUCAGUGCAGUGAGACUGUGUUGACCAUUUGUGGUAGCCUCAGUGCAUCUCCAGAUUGCCUGAGAUUCUUGCAGUUGAUGGCCUUUGCAUUCCAGUUUUCCUCUACCCAAGCAUCUCAGUGCCGGGUGGGCCCCAAGGCUUCAGACUUGAAACAAACCCACCAAAUCUCACAUAUUCAGGAAUUACUUGUUAAGGCAGAAAUAUGGCAACCAUCUCCUUGAGAGAGAAUAAUCUGACAAGCUGGUCAGGGAAUGUGAGGAAUGCUAAGCCUCACAUGCAGGAGUGACGCACUGACCUGCCCUCAGCUGGUGGCACAGGACUCUCAGUGCCUGGUGACAAAGCCAGUGGUACAGCGUACAGUUGCACUCACUGAACGGACAUUUGUUGCUCUCUUUGGGAUAAUACUUUUUGGCAUUUACUGAUCACCUUUUCUUCCAGACUAAAGGAGGCUGUGAGUAUGCAAAGGACAAAAUAGCUGAAAGCCAGCUGCUGCUUCAUAGGAAUGCCCUGCGUUUUCAGCCAUAACACUAAUUCUGGUUGCAAAAGCUUAACACUUUCCUCAGUAAUUCAUUGCUACUAGGAAAAUAAAUAAGCUUUUCUAACUCCAGCAGGAUGAAAAGCAGUAGCACAAAUACAUGAGCUAAUUAAUUAGAUGCAUUUGAAAGCAUACUGUCUGCAUUAUUAUAUCAUUGAUUUUUCACUGAGAGAAAACAACCAGAGUUGGCUAACUGAGACUGCAGGUGCACCGCGUUUCACUGUGGAUGAAAAAUUAUUUCUAGUUCACCACAGUUAGACAAGAAAGGAGGAAGCUGCUUUUGGUGGCACUUUGGUAUGUAAAGUAUUUUUCUUGAUGACUGAUGUUAGAAACUCCUAAUAUGCCAAAACAAGUUAAAAUUAGGAAGGCUUCAAGUUAUGUUUCCUAUAGAUCCAUAUAUGUCAUAGGAUGGUGGGUGGUUGCACUUAAAAAAAAAGAUGGUCAAAUUUAACAGGCUGCUGAAAUGUAGAAGAAGGACAUCACAAAAUACCUAAGUAGAUAGAGUGAGUCAAUGGCAGUUUUCCAGGAAAAUAAGUAUUAAGGGCUACAACCUGUUGCUAGAAAUGGAGAGGGCGAGGUAUCAGGUCCAAAAGGCAAAGUGGGCCAUUUUUUCUCUUACAUGAGAGCAUUUCUAAGCCACCAAAGUUUGUGAGAGGUUUUAUGAGAAUGCUCUAAACAAAAUUCAUUGGAGAGAAAUGAAAUUAUCAGUAGUCUUGCCAAUAUGGCACUAGCCCUGGGCAUUUGUUUUUGGUGAUCUUUCUAGCCACUGUGUCUGUUCACCUGCCUUCCAGCUAAUAAGACUUGCUAAUUGUUUCCUGUGUACUGCGAGAUUAUCAGUGCAAAAGGAGAUAAGUCUACUUAUCUGCAUCCUUUGACAACCUCAGGAGGCUGGAGAUAAACUUGACAAACAAUCUGGGAAGAGAAAAAUUCGACAGAUUAAUUUCUUCAGAAGACAGAUUGAAAAUAUAAGGUUUGAUGUCAAACAUCUUGAAGAAUGUGGGCUGUUCCUGCCGUUGCAAAGUCAUUGUCAUGCACACAGAAACUGAGCAAUGCUCAGCUGAGACUCAGUCUUAGUGAGCUACUGUCUCCAUUUUGCUCAUGAGGAAAUAAGGUGCAGAGGCUGCAUGAAGUGUUUAAUGCCCACAGGUCGAGGAUAAUUGAUUGUGAAUCAGGUGUGAAUUACAUGGGAUGUAUCCCACUGCUUGAUUUUGCAUGCAGUUUGGACAUCUGUCAUUAGAAAAUGGAGAGAGCCUUGGGGUUGUUAAUUCAGGGGACUACAGGUCCCUUGCAGCUGCCCUACGGUUGCCACAAAUUCACUGAGAAAAAGUAUCAUCCUCUAAUAAGGACGCUUUGCAAAGAAUACUGUUUUUGUGUAAACAGGUGUACGAGAAGUUGAGUUUUGAUAUCAGCCUGUCCAAACUCAUUUUUGACCACAGCCUAUUCAGUUAACUUCCUUGUGCUUUGCUUUCUCCAUGAAAGAUAAGAAAAAGAAAACAUAAUCUUAUUGUAGAAAUUUUAUGAGAAUAAAAUGAAAGCAUCAAUACAUUGUUCAGAAAAUGGAAGUAUAACUGCAUAUUAUAUAAUGGAGCAAUGACAUUGGUGGACAAAGGAGAGGAAACUGACAUCAUCUACCUGCACUUGUGACAUGGACUUUGACAUGGUCCUGCACCACAUCCUUAUUUCUCAGCUGGAGAGAUACGGACUUGAUGGCUGGACUAUUUGGUGGAUGAGGAAUUGGUUGGAUGGUUACAGCCAGAGAGCUGUGGUCAGUGGUUAUAUAAGUCCAGAUGGAGGCAGGUAACAAGCAGUGUCUCCCAGGGGUCCAUCUCGAACAUCUUUAUCAAUGACAUAUAUAAUUGGAUCAAGUUUGCUGACAACAAGCUGAGUGUUGCAGGUGAUACAGCAGAAGGAAGGGAUGACAUCCAGAGGGGCCUUGAUAAACUCAAAAGGUGGACCCAUGUGAACCUAGUGAGGUUCAACAAAGCCAAGUGUGAGGGGUUGUACUCGGAUUGGGGCAAUCCCAAGUAUAUGUACAAGGAGAAGAACUCCUUGAGAGCAGCUUGG
ensembl:lncRNA